CAUGUAUGAGUGUGCAUGUGAGUAUGUAAAUGUAUAUGGGUGUGUGUUGAGGAAUAUAGGGAAACAGAGACAGAACAUCGAGGAGGAAUCAGUUGCCUUGCUCCAUAGCACAGUGGGGUUGCUGCUGUCAGGAGUCAUUUAGUGUUUAGUAUUUAUUCAAAUAGCUAAAGGAAAAGAUUGAGUGUUCUCAGCACUACAACAUGCCCAGUGUGAGAUGACAGGCACAGUGAUCUGCUGCUGUUGAUCACUGAACUCACAGAUGCCAGAGCACCACCCAGCACCCAGGAACAUGCACAGUUAUCAUGUCAGUGUGCUGCCUAAUUUUAUGUCAAGUUGACAUAAACUACAGUCAUUUAAGAAGAUGGAAGCUCAGUCAAUAAAGGGCCCCACAACAGAAUCCUGUGAACCAUUCUCCAGAUUGAUGAUUCAGGGGCAAGGCCCAGCUCAUUGCGGGUGAUUCUGUCUCUGGGCUGGUGGUCCUGGGCUCUAUAGGAAAACAGGCUGAGCAAGUCAUGGAAGCAAGCCAGUAAGCAGCACUCCUCCAUGGCCUCUGCUCCUGCCUCCAGGUUGCUGCCUUGAGUUCCUGCCCCUGGAUGAAGAACUUAUCAGCUGUAAGGGUCACUGUGACUGCCUUGGGCAGGUGCUGGCUAUGUUCUCAUGGGAUCAUGUGAGAUGGUAUGCAUGAGGACUUAGCACGAGGCAUACAUGGUAGCUGCCAUCGUCCCUGGAGCUAGCAUGAUCUCAUCUCUCCUGGCUGGAUGUUCAUUUGAUGAGAGUCCAAGGACAGAAGUUUCUGGCCCCUUUCUGGUGGAACCAGCUCAUCGUUUCCAAUCUUCGGGGUUGGCAGCUGAUGGGGUUCAUCCACGGGUGUCACUGAUCUUUAUUUAGGAUGCUGAAAAGCUGUGAGGAAUUUCUUCUCUGAGC